CGAUGGAUCUUGUUUGUACAAAUUUUACUUAGGUUAUUUGAUAUCCUUAAGUUUUUUGGUUCAGGUUGCUGGGCUUAUAUGUUUUGGCAGCAACGGAUGCAGGACUUCUGCUCCGUAAUCUUUUCUUACCAUUAAUAUAGCCCCCGAGCCUUCUCUUUUACCAAAAAAAAAAAAAUUCUAUUGCUCCACGUCUUGAUACCAAGUCUUGACUGCAAAUAAAGAUAAAUACCAUG
rnacentral:lncRNA from 1 species